GUAGAGAAACAUGGCUACACUGCAUGUGAGAGAGACUGAAAAAUAUCUAGAACAGCAAAGUAACCAACAACUAAAGCUCCUCAUCUUUAAGGGUAAAGGAGUAACAUAAAAAUUCGUAUUCCCAAAGUCCUCUUUUUACUGAAUUCAAGCUGCUUCGCAAACAUCACUAAACGAGCAAUUUCUGGAGGGCUCUAAAAUACUGUUUUGACAGAUUGGACUUAGCAUUUCAUAUGUAUUGUAAACCUCAAAUAUUUAUAUUUUCUAGGAAUAUUCAGAGUGGAUGUACUGGUUACUCAAGUCAUUAUGUUUUACCAGAUACCAGGUGGACCUGAACAGUUCGACUCUUCUUGUGCCGGACGAAAUUGUCCACGCAUCAUCAUUUCCCACUCUUAUCCGUAUGUGUGGGAGACUAACAACUGCACUACUACUGAUGUGGGAUAU